UGAAAGUAAGUCCCUUGCUGCAGCUAUGCACACAAACCAGAGUUCCUAAAGAUGCGAGCAUCAUGUACCUUUCCCGGCCAUCCCACACUGAUGCUGGUGAAACAUCCCUUGUGAUCCACUAGUGCUUGCAGCACCAUUGAAAAAAUACCCCUUACGGUUUAUGUGCUGGCUGCCUUGGUACUCCGAUCCCAAGAUAGGGAUAUGCGCUCCAUUUAUCGACCCACCAGUUUGGGAAAUGUGCAGGUCAUAGUAGAUGGCUUUGCUGCAAUGGGACUCCCUGAGUCACUACCCUUGAUAGCAGCAGCUCAGUGAUCACAUUGGCUACUUGGAUCACAGCAGCCCCCACAGUAGAUUUGCCCACUCCAAACUGAUUCCCGACUGACCAGUAGCUGUCUGGCAUUGCAAGCUUCCAGAGAGCUAUCUCCACUCGCUUGUGAACUGUGAGGGCUGCUCUCGUCUGGCAUUCUUGCGCUUCAGGGCAGAGGAAAGCAAGUCAAAGUUCCAUGAAAGUGCCCUUGUGCAUGCAAAAGUUUCGCAGCCACUGGGAAUCAUCCCAGAACUGCAACACUACACGGUCCCACCAGUCUGUGCUUGUUUCCCGGACCUAGAAUCGGUGUUCCAUAGCAUGAACCUGCCCCAUUACCACCAUUAUGUCCAAAUUGCCAGGGCCCGUGCUUUGAGGGAAGUCUGUGUCCAUGUCCUCAACACUCGUCACUGCGCUGCCGUCGCCUCCUUUUGAAGUUUCUGGUGCUGCAUAUAGUGCACGAUAAUGCUCGUGGUGUUUACAGUGCUCAUAACUGCCACAGUGAUCUGAGCGGGCUCCAUGCUUGCCAUGGCAUGGUGUCUGCAGGAGAGCAGAGUGGCAACGGAAGCAGUCAUUCCAUGACAGUUUGUAGUCCUACUGCACAGUCUGCUGCCAGCAGCACCCAGGACACAACAGCGGCAGCUGAGCAGGCUGCAUGCUUGCCAUGGUAUGGCAUCUGAACGGAAAAAAGGUGCAAAAUGAUUGUCUGCUGUUGCUCUCACGGAGGGAGGGGCAACUGACAACAUGGCUUAAAGGGUUGGCUUACAUGGAAUUAAAAUCAACAAAGGGGACGGGUUUGCAUCAAGGACAAACAACUGUCACAUCGAAGUCUGGCCUGUCAUGAAACUGAUUUUCAAAGCCUCUGAUGCACAGCGCGCCUUGCUGUGCUGUUCUAAAUCGCAAACAGCCUAGUCAGCAAACAGCAUCAGGAAGUGUUUAGAUGUCCAAAAGCACAUUCUAACACCAUUCUGCACUUGCUCAGUUUAUAGUUGAACUGCUCUUUACUACUGUCCAGGUUUCAUGAGCCAUGGGAACAAGGGGUAGGUGCAACUGUGCGGUGCUGCCAGCUGGGAGAGAAGCCUGAGGCAGAAGUCUUCAGCUCACAAUAUUCCAGGCAAGACUGAAUCUCCAUGAGACAAAAGUUAAAGACGAGUAUGACCUGGAGUCACUCCCAUUUAUGUCCAGGCGCCACUCACUGAGGUCAGCCAGGAGCAUGCAUGUCUGCCCAGGCACCCCGACCGAGCUCACUGAGGUCAGCCAGGAGCACCCAGGAGACUACGACAAGCAGUUGUAUUGCAUUGUCUGCUACCGCAAAGGCAAGGAGCUGCUGCUGUGCGGCAAUGUAGUACCACAUCUAUCAGCAGCACCCAGGAGACAAACUGUGACGGUGAGCUGAGUGGGCUCCAUGCUUGCCGAGAUAUGUCAUCCGCACAGGUGCCUUUGCAGGUGAAUUACUCAGGUAGAAUGAGGACCAAGGCAUCUUUUUUUUCCCUGUGGCAGUUUACAGGGACAGUUCUGAGAAAUAUGAACAGUAUUUCCAAGCAGCUGACUCAUCUACAGAGAUCUCAGACCCAGCUGGAAAGGAAUAAAUGACUGACCAGUCUUGGUUCAGAACUUGGAUGUACUACUACUAGAGGGAAGUAUUAGUCUUGUAAUAAAAGCAUAAGACUAAGAAUCUGGUUCUCUGUCUGGAUCUGCCAUGGACUUCCUGGGUAGCUUUGGGCAAACCACCUCUGUAUCUCAGUUUUCAAAUCUAGAAACUUGUGAUAGCCAUAUUAAGGAUUAAAUGUACAGCAUUUUAAAGCACUAAUUAAGGAUUAAUUACACUCUACUGUUCCUGUUGAAUACACUGCACCUCACAGUGCUCUAAGUAGCAGUACAAGUAAUUUGACCCAGUAGGGAAAGUUAUGAACAUGGCAAGAUAGUUGGGACAGUGAAAAAAAAAAAAAAAAACACACCCUCAGUUAUGAUCAUGACAGAUUUUAAAACACAAAUUCAGCAUUUACUAAGAGUUUCUGCUAAAUUUUUGGCUUAGAAGUUUUACAGUAACUUUGUAUUAAGUAGUAAUAAGGAGGGAAAGAAAUGACAAUACAGAGGCAGCCAUUUCCCCCAAUAUUCCAUGUGCAUAUGAAAGCAACUCAGUGGUUUCAAGACAAGAAAUAUUUUCCAUCACUGUACUGUAAAAGUUAAUUGCUAAUUAUAUUUGCGCAAAAUGGCCAAGUCGUUGUUGAUGCUGGGAACCAUAAGUGAAUUUCUUGGGUUUUGGAUGGAAAGUAAACCAAAAUUUUAACACUAGUUUUUGCUUAAAUAUUUUUGUACUACUGUAUUUGAGCACACACAUUUAUAAGUGUGGAUCAUGUGUAAUUUCAAACACUGAAUUGUGCUCCAAGUACACACCACCCUACAGAACAUGAAAAGCUUGAAUUUUGCAACAAAAAAAAGACUAACUCAUCUGAGACCCCUUUUUCAGAUAUUAUUUAAAAAGGUUUGAGAGAAGAGACAUCUGAAGGGAGAAUGAAGACCGCUGAGAGGAUCAAUGGCACAGCACUUGUGUGCUAACACAGUUCCAUACACUGGGUACAGUUAAGAACAUUUCAGAAAUAUAGCAGCUAAUGUAAAAAUUGUUAGAGACCUGAUAAUUUUAGAAGUUAGAAUUUAAUGCAUUACAGCUGCCUUCUUGCAAGACACCUUACAUAACAGGCUCUGUGUCCACUCUUCUCUCCGUCACUUGUUAGAGUUUGCAUUCCAUGUCAUAGCUGCUGCCCCUUCCUGGUCCAAGUUGAAAUAAAUUCUACUAGUUCAAGAUGAAUGCCAGCUGACUUCACCCCACGGAUUCUAGCGGGUGCUUUUUUCUCUCCUACUUUCAUAAAGUGUAAUAAUCUAAUGGGGAGUUUAAGACUUGAUUCUGAAGAUUAAAUAAUUAAAAUAGAUUAUUCAUUAGAAAAAUACAUUGCAGUCUUCUGGUAACCAGUGAAAGAGGCACAAUAGAAAAGGCUGAAUUGAUCUGCUAACGUUUCAAAUAAUUUGUUUAAACUAAGAAUGAGAAAUUACAGACCAAAAUGUAAUUCCAGCAAUAUUUAAGCCCUAGCAAAAAGACAUUUAGACAUCAGAGAGCCUUCUCAAAGUACAUUAACUUGACACUUAAAACAUCAACACCCAAGAAUGCAUUAUUAAAUUAAUCUUCCCUCAUUGGAGGAGACCUAAGGACUACUCUGUGACAGGAAGGAUUGAAAGGGUCUAAAAAGAGGGAUAAGGAAAAGAGAAAUUGUAAGCCUGUGUUAAGAUUAAAAGUGGAAGUUAAAUGCCUUUCCUAAAACAGCCACUCAUAGCAGACAGAGUACUAGAAUUAGUUAUUAUUGGAGCAGAAUACCAGAUAAAGUCAUAAUAGUUCCAGUGCUACUCAUAUUUAGGUGGUGUCUCAAAUGCAAGUAUAACCAUCAAAAAUACAUACAAAGAGACAUUUGGAUAGUAACAAAAUAUAACGAAACAAAAUUCAUUAUACCUAUUACAAAUAUACAGUUAAAAACAAGUCACAGCUUAUAAG